rnacentral:lncRNA from 1 species
CAAGUUACAUUGCUGAUAUUAAAAAUUAACUUAAAUAACAAUUAAUCUGAAGUCGGAACCAUGAUUUUGUCUGGUAAAUAUUACAGGUGGCUGACCCAACACACAGAAGGCUCCAUACAUACGUUGUAUUUAUCAACGGCCGCCAUGGGAAUCAAUCAGAGCAUCGGCAGUAUGGGUUUUAAUGCUCGCUCAAAUUCGAGGGCUUCGGUAGUAAAUAGUAACCCGAAAAUGAAAGAAAAAAAGGGGUAUCUGUGAACAGAGUUAUUCAAAACUUAAAGAAAACGGGGAGGAAGGAACAGAGGACGGAAAACGGGGGAUGGAGGGGGCGUUCUGUCCGGUAUUCUGACGCCGCUUGCGCCGCCGAGGAGGGAAAGGAAGAGAAGGAGAGGAGGUACGGUGGAGAAAGAGAGAAUAAAUAAUUAAAGAAAAUAGUAUUUAUAUAAAUAAAAAAAAAGUAAUUAAAUAAACCAAAAAAUAAAAAAAAAAAUUCAGUAAAAUCUGGAAAGAAAGAAAGGAAGCCAGCUAAGCUUCCAAGACUCUCAGAUAAUUGGUUUACCCAUUUUACAUUUGGCUAUUGAUCGACGGCUGUCAUUAAUUCUUAUCCAUUCACGGUUUGUCCCGGUUAAGUGGAAGAGAAACGGAAGUAAGCACUGAGUAGGUGUACUUAACGCAUUGGUGUACUUGUACUUCAUGUCUUCAGGCCACUUAUCUUCAAAACAAUCUGUACCGUUAAACAGUCAGGAUUACGACGCUUGGUUACAAAGCUAGUAUUCCAGUUAGAAUAAGGAAAUAAAACUUGUAUAUAUUCAUAUCAACAGCAACUAUUUCUUUCGUUGGUUUUUUUAUGGACAAAUCUACCAUUGAUUUUGGGUUCUUGGAGAGGUUGAGAAAAUCAAAGAUGUUAAAAGAUUUAGACAAUGUCGACGAUGGUGGUUCGUGGGAGAAACUGAAGAAGGAGAGUGAAGUAGGGACUGAUAAUGAAAGCCAGCGGUUAAGCAAACUAACUCUCUUGGCUUUGGAAGGGUUUACGAAUGGCUUUGUAAUGAAGAAGAAUAAGAAGAUGAUGAUCAUUGAGAAAAAGGGUAUCAAGCGUGGCUUUGGAACUGGAACUGGAAGCAAAAGUCCUUCCGUUGAAGAAAAGGAGGAUUACUUGAUCAAGAAGCAAAAGAAGCAGAAGACAAGUGAUGCCAAGAAGCAGAAGACACGCAUCGAGAAGAAGCAGAAACAGAGAAAGGGUUUCAAUCCAGUCGAAGAGCUUAGUGCAUUAGGCUUAGAACCACCUCCCGAUAUGCAUCAAGUAUUCAAGGAUCGCAUCGAGAACUUGGGUGGGACUGACAUAAAGUUGGUUAUACAGAAGUUCAUAAAGCCCACUGAUUUGAACCCAGGACACAACCGUUUGUCAAUGACAUUGAAACAAGUUAGGAAUAAGUUUUUAACUGAAGCUGAGGAGGAAAAAUUCAAGAAUAAUUGGGGGAUGGAUGUUAUAUUGAUAGAACCAUGUCUUGAGGUAUCUAAAGUACACUUGACCAAGUGGCUCAUCGGAGGGAGCUUCGCAUAUGUUUUCAAGACUCAGUGGAAUCAAAUUGUCAGGAACAAUGCUGAUACUCUCAAGCCAGACGCGGUCGUACAAAUUUGGUCGUUUCGAGUGGGACCUGAAUCACAGCUUGGUUUUGCCAUUAUCAAGGUUAAAGAAGGGAAGGCAGUCUCUGAAAUUCAUUAGAUAAGGAGUUGAAGAUUUCCGUGAAUACAAGAUUCUAAAUUGUAGAACAGCCCAAGGCUUUUUUCUUAUCAAUCUUAUUUUAUUUUUUUCUUUUACAGAUAAUGUUUCAAAUUGUAAAUGUGUUUAGAUUACUUACAAGUGAUAUUCAAUUUAAUGAUGAUGAAUUGUUAUGAUUGUUACAGUGAAAUGAAUACGUUUAGCAAAUACCAGAUAAUAGAUAUACAUUCCUCUUAGCCUCACCUGAUUUUGUCUAGUAAAUAUUACAGGUGGCUGACCCAACAUACAGAAGGCCACGGAGCAAAUAUAAAUGCAUUUGGCAAACCAUUUUCUUUUGGCACUUAGCCUCACCUGAGUCAGCCAGCACCAAGAAUAUUUGCAGAAAGAACUAUCUGUAGCAGACCAACAUGCAACUGGAUUAUCUUGAAACGAUGAAUAUUUGACAAGAAGCUAGGGUCUUGUCAUAAAGCAAUGUUCUCACAUAUGUUCCCCACCCUUUUUUUUUUUUUUGAUACAAAGCAAUAUUCUUACUGUAAUUCCUAACAUGAUAUAUAUACAAAAUUUUCAGUCACAAGAUAACUUCCAGUGAACUUCAAGAUAGAAUAUCCAUGAUUGACUUUUGUAAGCAUUGCUUAUCAUGAACAUGUAACAAAAUGUAAAUCAGGAACUAAUAUCAACCUGCUGCUAACUGCCUAAAUCAACCGCACCACACAAUACUGAUAGAGUGAUAUGAUUUCCACACCAUCAAGAACCUAAAAUCUAAUUGAAAUGUGUACUUUCUACACCAGGAUUUCGAUUACCAAUGGUACAAUUGGGCUCCACAGGCAGAUGGUUGAUCAACUCCAUAAUCUUGAUGAAAAGAUUAAACCCACUGCCAAACCAACUGAUAUCUUCAAACUCACCUUGUCUGUCACAAACUCGCAGAUUAUAGAUAUGAGCAUUUUUAGAGACUAUCAUUCAAACUGCCCUGAUCACACCUUGUAUGGUGAUAAGGCAUCGUAAGUAACAGAAAGCAACUGCAUUAAUUCUGUUCAAUUCGCAAAGGCCUUCCCCAGUCUUGCAGUAGCACUUUCAGAGCUAGGGGUGGUCAUCAAGUUUCCACCAUCAGACAUGUAGAAAUUGUUGUAAUUAAUUCUGGCAACCAGAUCAGCCAAAUGAGGAAAGUGCCCCACAUUGAGCUUGAAAGAGAGGACCUGCAUUGUCAAGACAAAAGCCUUUCAAUUAGAGAAUCCAACUUAGCACAUUAUGUAUCUGCCACUUUAAAUGAAAAUUCUUGUUGCUCCCACCCCCCAAAAAAAUAAACAAACAUAUUAUAUGCAUGUAAGGAUGGAUAUUUGUCUCUAUGCAUGCAUAUUUCACAUUCUCAGCAAACACUGAAUGAGAUGCAAACUGAUAGCAACCCCAAAUCCAAAUAAAAGGCUAAUGCAAUCAGGAAGGGUUGGAGAGUACUCUAAGGAGGAAAGCAAUGCAAUCAUCAAACUGCUUCUCAAUCCGGUCCACUUCCAUUUCACAUCUGGCCUUAAUUGCAGAAACUGUUCCACCACUGCUUAAAGUCUGCUGUAUGGAAUAGAAGUCCAGAGCUAGUCCAAGAAUGCUGUUGAUUCGGCUUGCAAUCAGAGCCCACUGAGAAUCAAUGAGAUCAUCAAGCAAUAAUCAAAUGAUAAUUCCUGAAAACUUUCAACCUACAAAGAGUACACAAGAUUAAAUAUCAAAAUAUCUGGAGAUUCUACCAGCUUAUCUGGAGCCACAAAGCAUUGCCGAUGAAUUGAUAACAAGUAGGCCUCAUGUACUUCUAUAACUUCAUCCAGAGACCCAGCAGCUGCCAUUCCUUCACAAAGUUCACGCCAUGCGCUAUGAUACACCUGAUCACCAAAAGCUAGUCAGAGAUUUGAAAGGCUUAGUACUUUUAUACACAGAAGCAGCUAUCAAAGUCUGCCUUACCACUAAAAUGCAUUAAAUAUACAUAAAUGCAUUUUAAUUAAAUGGCCUGAAGACCUAAUAAUGUUAAUUGUCAGAAAACCACCAAAUACAUGUUUUUGGAACCAUGAGCCCCUUAUUGAAAACUAGUUAACAGCAGCAACAUAAGCAAUCUUAAUAAUACUUGAAAGGAUCUCUAUACAUAUAUGUAUAUAUAAUUAAAAACAAAAGUGAUGUCGAGAGAAAAGCCACAAAAAGUUAGUAUGUUCAGAGAAUUAUGAGAUAGAGCAUUCUUAUUUACAAGUAAAUGACUCAAAAAGUUUGUAUAAUAAAGCUAAGAAGUUGAUUUGGCUUCCAUUUCACAUCAUGUUUCUCAGACAAUCUGACAGUACAAGAGGUCAUUAGACACAAAUAGGAAGAAGAAAAAAAGGAUUAACAAGUAUAAUGUUAAAAGGACAAUGAAAUUAUAAAAAAAAAAAGCUGCAGACAUAAGUUGUAGAAGAUGGUUAAUGUAAAGUUGCAAAAGAAAAAACAGAAACAUAACUUCUAAAAAUAAGGUAAUAUUAGCAUCAAGAAAAAUCUUACUCUAUCCAUUACGUAUUGGUGAAAAGCAUCCACAAAAUGAAGGAGUUUUUGCUCCACUAACCAGUGGCGCUUGCGAUUGUUUCUUACAGUGCCUUUAUCCUGGAAAGUGAUUACUCAAAGAAUAAACUCAUGCAUCAAAGAAAUACUGACAUCAGCAUGAUUUGGUCUCACAAUUGACCACCCAUGUCUUCUUGGUGACUGUGCACUAUUAUGGAGAAAUCAAUGAUUAUUUGAUAGAAGAGCACUGUGAAAAAAAAAAUGAAAAAAAUAACCUUCCACAUCCAUCUCCGAGCUUUAUCAAGUGCAAACUUAGCCCGCUUGACCUUCAGCAAGAAUGCCAUGACCUACAUUGAACAUAAAACAAUUGAGGAACAUGCAUAUUUUUAGAUGACAGCACCUUACAACCAAAGUGAGAGUAGUACCUGAUUAUACUUCUUAAUUGCCUCUGAAUUAGCUAUCAGUUCAAGGGGCCAAGAGACCUGCCAUGUUCAAUGCAUGAAUUUUAAGGACAUGACUCAUAAGUGGGGGCAAGAAUAACUAAGAUUGACUAUGGAAUUAACCUUAUAGAUGAAUUUCACAGAGUCAAGGCCAUCAAUUCCAUAGCUGUGUGGACGACUUUUAUGCAGAGCUGAAGCAACAUUAGCUGUAUUAGUUUGCUCAUCACCAUCAAUACCAUGAGUCUUGGAAAUGGAUACCACCAAAGAAUCUGGUGCACUGAGUAGCAAGCCAUCAGCUGAGUUUCUAAUGGAUUCCUGUAGUGCAUAAGCUUAAAACAUUAUCCCAAUAGGAAUUAAAAAAGUGCAAAUCAGAUGAUUGUACAUCGCAUCAAACUGAGAGAUUGGCAACUUUCAACUUUGCAAUGUGGGCAAAAGCAACAAAUCAUCAUCCCAUUAAAUACAAAAGAUGCUAGACCAAUUAAACCUUUGCUCAACUAUUCACCUGCAAUAUUGUGUUCAACUCAAAAUCAUCAUCCCAAGUUUCUCCUUUAUCCAGCUUAUUGAAUAUCACUGUCAAAAAGUGUUGCAACAAAUCACCUGAACAUAGGAAUGUAUAAAGAAAAUGUCAGAGAACUAAGAUCUAAUAACCAACCGCCAUACAUCAGAAUCAACACAUAUAGUACCUGAACCUAACAAGUAUAUGGCACGCAAUACCGCAAGCUCAUCCAUCAAUCUCCAACCAUUCAUUAACUUUGACAGGAUAAGGCUGCCAAUAUAAUCCACCUAGGACAUUAAACCCAAACAUUAUAGAUAUAUAAAAAGCUUGUCACAACUAAACAAAUAAGUAAAAACUAAAGGUUUAAAGAAUUCAGCAAUUUACCUGCUUCUUGAUGUAGACAGUGAGACAUUCCUGCAUAAUAACCAUAGGAAGUGGGGUAGUCCUUGGCUGAAAAGUUUGAAUCCAGCUAAGUACUCUUGAUAAAAGGGUGCUAUUCUUCUGGAAAGGCAAGAGCUCUGACAUGUGGAUGUCAUCCUGUUUCCAGAUUCACUUAUGUAUCAAAAAUGCUUGCAGGGUUUGCGGUAGAAAUUGAGUUUAAAAAAUAUCAAUCUAGCAAUACCUGUAAAGAAGGAAGAAGAGUAGGAAAGGGAAACAACACUUCCAACAACUUAGUGUCAUGCUGAGCACGAAGAUGAUCAGAUUCACCAAACUGGAAACCAAGAGUAUAGUUUGUUCCAUGAGGUCCAGAAACUAGCUCACUUUUCUCUCCGAAAACAGCUUUUCUUAAGUAUUCAUCAUUUAAAGGAGGUAAGUAAAACUUUUCUGAUAAGUUUAGUGCCUUCCAGGAAUUCCUGUUCUUAUCAAGGAAAGUUUGACACACAGUAAGGACUAGAUUUUCUGGACAGAAAGAUUGUUGGAGCGAAAAUUUAUUUUCAACACCUAUAACCAUAUUUUUUGCUUUUGUAUCUGGAAAACAACAUGAAUCCUUAUCUGCAGGCUCUACAUCUAUAGACUUUUUCUUUAACAAUGAAUCAACCAAGAAGUUAUACCAGAUCUUCUCUGAGUAUGUUGAAGGUGGCAAGGGUUCAGCAGUCCCAUACUCCAUGAUCUGUUCUUUCACAUAUGAGAACAAGGAAGAUAUAAUCCCAGCUUUGCUCUGGUCACCUUGGCAAAAGUAUUGAGAGAUGUGAUCACCAUGGCCUAAAAGACCCGCCAAUGAAACACAAAAUAUUUCAGCCAACGCUAACCCUGUCAUGCAUUGCCAAUGAUUCAUCUUGUUUAUAUCGCAGUCAUCAUGAUAACUCUCAAAACCAUCAUUGCAUUUAUCAUUAUUUUUGCUAGAAGGCAGUGUUGAUGUCAUGGGAACAUGGCGGAUCAGCUGCAAUGAUUUCCCAGCAGAAACAAUUGACUUUGCUAUGUCCUUAAUAAAUAAAGGACACACUAGAAGGUCUCUAUUGUUUUGCUCUUUUCCUUUCAUAGAACUAGAUGUAGAAACAAACUCCUUUUCAGCUGUUUCCUUCUUGUUACUAGUCCCAGGUACAUAAUCAUUGGUAUCAGUUGGGGCAGAGGGGUCAACUUUUAACUUGCAAUUUUGGACAACCCUUAGUAAAUAGCUCUUUUCCCAGAACUCAGCCUCAUCAACUGAGAUUGCUCUGUUAGCAUAAAAGAACAUCUGCCAAAAAGACCAAAGACAAUGAUUGGGAAUUUAGGAAGGAGUCUAUAACAAUGCAUUAAAACCUGAAAAUAGAACCUAUAACAGAAAAUCACCUCAUCUCCACUGUGUAAAGAUAUUGCAAAUUGGAAGUAUAGUGUCAAAGGUACAAAAAUCAGAGACAAGAGGCAUACUAAAAUUCAGCAAAUAUAUGAAGAAUGGAAUCCUAAUUGCAAACUAUCAUAAGCAUUCCCAAAAUAUUAAUGAAUUGAUAUGCACAACCCCAGUCUUCAUAAUUGCAUCAAGAGAGAUUUAAAAAAAGGUAGUUAAUGAUGGUGCUUUACCAUUCCACCAAGAUGGAAUUUCUGGAUAUAUUGAAGUGAAGAAAUUGUUUCAGGCUUUAGAAUAAAUUCAGCUUGAAUCAAAAUUACCUCCUCAAAAGGAUCAUCCAGUGUCCCUUCAAAAAGCCAGGAGUCAAGACCCUCAAUGUAUGGCAGUAAGGUUCCAACAAAUAUAUGAACUAGCAUCUGGUAUACAUCCCCCUGAAAUUAGCACAAGCUCUAGUUUUGAAUUGCAUACACCAAGAAAGUCACACAAAUAAGAAGCGACACAUGAACACUGAUCACUAAUGAGAAAGUAGAUACAACCUCACCACCUUGCACAAGACAUGCUUCACCAAGCUUUAGAUAGAGAUGGUCAAGGAUAUGAAUAGCAAUUUCAGCAGAUGGUAUACAUGAAGUAGGCUCAAAGCAUGCUUGGGGAAUGGCUUCGUGAACUAUUUGCAAUAGAUAUUCAGCACCUGAGCAAAGGCUAAUAUUAAUGAAAAAUGAUCAGAAAAGUUCACUAGAAUAAGAAACCUAAUGUCAUGACUUAGAACAAAAUGAAAAAAAAAGAAACAUGUGAAUUCGAACUAUAUGCACACGUACAUCUAACACCGAAAGAAUGAUGCAUUACAGGUUCCCUCUGGUACAAAUCAAACAAUGACACCAAUUCAAAAGGCAAAACCAACUCAAAAGUUAACAAUAACAAAUUAUACACCUUGAAAUUUCAGAAACUAAAAACACCAUGCCACUUAAAAUAAAACUAAACGCCUGUAAGUUUUUUAAGGUGAAAGUCUGUAAAACAACAUAUACCAACCUCGAUAAAGAACUUGUUAAUCCCAACAGGGUCAGCCUCGUUUCCCCAUUUGAAUUGCUGAUCUUUGUUUCUUCCUUCAAAGCAAUAUCACGCAACCUCUGCACUAGACACAACAAUGUGACUAAGUUUUCAAAGCAUUCAUACCAAACACAAGACAACUAACCUUCUCAUGCAAUGGAAAAAAAAAAAUCUUUACCAACUAAGGUACCAUUUGAUUCACUUUUACUACUCACCCUUUACUUUCAACAGUAAAAAGCCAAAAAAACAAAAACACCCUUUAAAUAAAAGAAAAAGAAAUUAUAUUUUGACCUUGAGCCAUGAAGAAACGGAGGAAGCAAAAGCUCUCAAAGUGGGAGGAGGAGAUCUAAGCUGCGUCUCCACUUUAGAAACCGCAAUUUGUACAAGUUCCAAACACGUAGCGGCAUUCAUGAAUUGGUUGAGGAUCGCGCCGAGGCUCAACUGCGACAAAUGCGUCACAUAAAUCCCAUUUUUCACACAAAACCGCCGCCCCUUUUGGUCCCAGGAAAACAAGGAACCCGAAAAGCCUUGCAACAUCCGAACAACUCCUCGAACCAACUCCAUUUCCGUGGUCCUGGCAGAGGAAAUCGGGGACGAAAAUUGGACGUCAUUGUCGGAGAAGACCCCAUAGAUUUUGUUGAUCAAACUUUGAGAAGCAUCUGGGUUUGAACUGAUUAAACUCGUAGUUUUCAUAAUAAAAGAAAAUUAAAAAAAAAAAGUUUUAAGAAUGGGGAAAUAACAGGAACGAGGAAAUGUUGUCUUAGAAAGAGUGGAAAAGUGUUUAAAUAUUUGAGUGGCCAAAAUAGCAAAUGGCGCCUGCAUGUUUCUUUUAUUAUUCAAUUUAGCCCUUUUAUUAAUUUCUUUUAGUCCCAAACCUAAAUUAAUUUAAUUUGAACUGCCCAAGAAGUUAACAACUCCUAUUAAUCUAGAUACAUUCCGCAGUUUUUUAUUUUAUAAAAGAAUUUAUAAAUUUAUUUCCACGUAAUGCUUGAAAAAUCUUUUAAAUUAUUUAAAAAAAUUUAAAUAAUUUUUUAUUUUAUUAAUUCUCAAUUAUUUCUCCUCUUUUCAAUCAAAUAAAAAUAAUAUGUAUUUAAUUAUAUCUAACAGUUAUUUUUUUCCUAUAUAUAAAACUAUUUUUUUUCAAUUUAUAACAUUGAAUUUUUCUUUUCUAAUUUGCUCUUUCUUAUUUUAACUUCAAUAAAACAAAACUCAUUUUCUUAAUUUUAAUAAAAAAUACUUCAUUUGAAUAUUUACUUUAAAUCUUUAAAAAUAUUUAACCGUCUUGGAAUACAUUAAUGAGAGUCUAAACUUCAUUGUAUGAUCGAGAAGGAAUGUGAACUUAUUUUUUAUAUGAAUAAUUUUUGUAUUAUGUCAAAUAUGUUAAAAUAACUCUUUCUUACUAUAGAAAUUAUGUGUGAAUACUAUUAUAUUGAGAUUUAUUCAUAUAAGAAUGUAUUUAUAUAUUAGCAUUUGUUGUGAAAAUUGUUUGAUUUUUGACAUAUUUAUAUAUAUAUAUAUAUUUUGCAUCCAAUAUCUAAUUUAAAUUUCUAAUUUCAUAAGUUUAGAAUUCUAUUUCUCAUAUUAAAUCUUUUAAAAUACCAUAUUUCAGAUUCCUUGAAAAUUACCACAAUUUGAUCUCUUUUCUUUUACUCGUGGUAUUUGAUGUCAUUUCCUUUAUUAUGAUUAGUCUACUUGAUAGUUUUGUGGCUCACUAAUUUUUUUUUAAAUUAUGCUUAAAAUUGAUUUGAAUGUAAGUUUGAGCGUUCGAUCAGGGUUUACAAGAAAAUAAUAUUAAAUUUAAAAAAGAUUUUUUCUUGCUAUUUUGGAAUAAUUCUUGUAACUUUAAAGUUCAAGCUUUUAUUUAUAUAUGAAAAGGAUGUAUAAAAGCAGAAUAUAUAUAUAUACACUUCUAAAUUAUAAAAAAAAAUUCAAAUAAUCAUCUAUUCCUUGAUUGCGUUCAAUUAAGUUCUUGAAUUUUAAUUAUUAACUAAACAAACUUUUAUAUUUUUGUUUUGAUCUAAGUAAACCCUUAUUACUAAUAAUUGAAUUAGUGAAAAUACUAUAUCAUAUAUUGACACGUUAUAAUAGAUGAUAAUGUAAUAUAUUGAUGUGACAUUUUUACUUUUCACAUGAACGUUGUCACGUAAAUGUAAAAUAACAAGUAUUCUAACCACUCAACUAUUGAUUGUAAGAGUUUAUAUAAUCCACAAUAAAAACUAAAAAAACUUAAUUGAACUUGAUAGAAUAAUAUCAACUUAUUUGAAUUUUCUUAAAUAGUUCUAAACUUUUUUUUAACAUUAUGACAUGUAUAAAUCUACCUUGUGCACAUAUGAAAAGAUCAUUUUAGCAAUAAGAUGCUGAUUUUGAAUAGGUUGAAACAUUAAGGUAUUUAAUUUGAAAUAACUUAAUGAGGCUGAUAUUCCAAAGGUGGGAUUGGAUGGCAACGUUGGAGAACGGGUAAUAACAUCAGAAUUGAACGAUGCCAUAGGGAUACGCUGCUUUGCUCAUGAGACCGUUACUGCUCUAUCUAUCUAUACCCUAAAAACCUUUAAACAAGGCUGAAAAAUGCCGUGAGUAUUGCAUUGCCUUUGUAAUGAAUUUAUAAUAACAAGAACAAUUAUGAUAAUACAAGCUUACAAAUUUAAAAUUCAACUUGGCACAGCUAGGAUAAGCUUCUGAAUUUAGCUGAAGAUAUAAUAUUCUUUAAUCGGAUCUGCUGCCAUUGCUAUCUGAACUCUUGUUUGUGUUUGAUGGUUGCUGACUGACUUAGCUUCAUCAAGAUCAAUCUUGUUAGCAAUCUGCAAUGACAAUUACUGUGCUGUAAUCUUUGGGAUCUGCAUCAGGUUGUGCCCUCCCUCUACCAUUGUUGAGUCAGGUUUGAGACCUAAGUUCAACUCAAAUCAUUAAGUUUGGAAAGUUUUUGCCACCUCCAUUGACACUUGACAGCAUCUAAUUGAUUAAUUUUCCAAAUUCUAUAGUACAACUAUCCUCUAAUUGUUAGAACCAGGCAUCAUAAACUGACCAAUUAAGUUUAUAAAGUUAUUAUUACCAUACAGUAGUAUUUUAAUCAAAUUCUUUCUUACUUCUGGGGCAACUUUAGAAUUAAUAUAAAGAAAAGAAUAUGGACAACAAAAAGGGAGAUGGGGAAAGAUUAGAAAACCAAAAUUGUAGGGAGAAGAUGCAUUUGUUGAACUAACCAGACAUUUCUCAAAAAAGCCAAGAACACAUUAGUAAGUACUGCCGGAGAGAUCCCCAGAAAGAGCACUUCCAUAAGAUACUGAUCCAGUCUGUGAAGCAGAACCUCCUCGAGCCUUCUGAAUUUGCCGUAUCCUGAAAACGUCUCUUGGCAGUGGUUGGCUUUGAACUGUUGUAGUUUCAUCCUCCUCUUGCCCUGGUAAAAUAAGAAAACAAUGAUAAGCCAAAUCUCUCCCUGAAGAGAGAUAAGCUUAGAGAUGUAUUUUAGCUAGCAACUAUUUCAAAAGUUGGGCCAUUUUGAAAGUGAUUGUGAUUGUAGAUUAUACUAAAACAGCAUUAUUUCAUACAAUCAUAUCUCUUUGAGUGAGCUUGUGAAUCUCAAUUGAAAGAAUAGUAAUUCUUUUUCUGAAUGAUGCCGUACUAAGUAAGGCAGUUUAACUCCCCAAUUAAUUGUAGAGCUACAACCAGUUGAAAUCAGCAAUCAAAUGCCUUGCCAAAAGUGCCAGAUGCAAUGAACUCUCAUAAAAGUAACACACUGACUAUCUGUGAAUCUUCAACACUAACACAAAGUAUGUACCUCUGGCCAACAACAGAAUAACAGAAAAUUACAUCUAUAAGUGCGAUAGCACAUCCCACUUAUAUUGAUUUCAACCCACCAUGGCUGGUCCCUUAUCCCAAGAAGAAAUGAUAAAAAUAUGCAGUUAACCCUCAACACAUAAGAUAUGGAUUAGCAAAAUUCAUACCCAUGAAUACGGCAGGAAACUUACUGUCUAGAUCCUUUCUUUUUCCAAGAUGCCUGUCCCUUGGUCUGAAAGAUGAGCUACUAGGGAUGGGAUGGGACUUGCUUGAACCAGAAAGAUCACUUGUGCUAGGAGCAGGACCUGUAGUCCUUUGAGAUGGGAGGGCAGUUAACUUCUUAGUUUGACCAGUUGGUAAGUUACUCUGCAAACAUAUGGACAAUACAAUGUCUACAUUUGGUAUCGGACCUGUGAAACAAAAAAAAAAGAAAAAACCCAUAAGAAAGUCAUAAACUAGGAUAGACAUAAUUGCACUUGAUGACAAAACAAGAAAUUAGAACUUAUGGAGUAUUUACAUAACCUCGCUACAAGUGACUAACAUCACGCUAAUGCAUUGUAGAAGACUAAAUUUAGCGUCUUGCACAGGAUCAUGCAUGAACAAACAAAUUGGUAAAUAUGAACUGAUGCAGGAGCAACUAGCUAAAGAAUUGGGACUUUAGGGCUACCAUCACUCUAUUAGUUUCUAAGGUUCUAUGUAAGUGAUUGUACACACCAUGUUUAAAAGACUAAACUUUACAGCAAGGCAUUUCAUACAUUAUAGUGUAAGGCACAAGUAGGGGUAAAGUCUUGGGGUCAGGGGAGGCAUGGCUAGCAGGGGCCCUGACCUUUUGGACUCUUUCUCUAUAUAUACCUUUCUCGAACAAAAAAGGAUAAGUUUGUCUUUGUCUUUGGCCCCUCCUUCACAAAACUUUGUAUUAAUAUGGUAAAUUCUCUAAUUUGCUAAUACUUUUAGUUCUACAACCAACAACUCAUUUGAUUUUCUAAGAUUCUCUUAAUGGUACUAGUUGAUUUUUAACACCUUAAAUUAAGGAUUUACCUUUUCAGCUAAUCAACAAGCAUUUGACACUAAAGGCUGUGUCAAGCAAUCUCCUUUUAUAUUCGGUUGUUAUAGUUUGCGCACAAAAUGAAUUGUGCAUAUAACUUUAUUUUCUUCUUCUAUUUCCAAUCAUCCUUGUAAUUUUUCAAGUUUUAUAACUUCUAUUUAAUUUUUAUUCAAUUCUUUACAUAUGCAAUAUGAACUUCAAAGCUUGGAAUUUGUAUAUUUUAUACUUAUCAAAAUCUAUUUUUUUUUACAAUUACUAAAUUACAUUACUAUUUCAUUUGAAUUCAGUUUUGUACAUAUUAUUUCUCAAAAAGGUUCUCAUUAUUAUUCUUAUUCUAGCUUCUGCCCCUAGGCAUGAGCCUCAAGAAAUUAAUAUAUUAAAUAAAAUAUACUUAAAUGGGUAAAAUAAUAAUAAAACAUUAUCCCAAAGUUAAAUACACUAGUCAAAAAGUACCAAGACACAGUCCAAAAUGAGAGAUCGAAAGGGCGUCUUUGAGAGAAGCCGAGAGGAAAACCAAGAGAGGAACCGUGACAGAAACCUUGUGAGAAACCAUAGGAUAGGAUCUAGGAGAGUGAGAGCAGUAGAUUGGUGGGACUCCCAAGGGUCGAAGGUGAGUGGUGGGAAUGAGGAAUUUCACAGAAGGGCUAUGGAAGGGGAGGGAAGAUUUGGAAAGUCUGACAUCCAGCAGCUGGAGAAGAGGAGUGUUCACAGCUUUUGUAGAUAAUGUGAGCAGAAAAAUAGGAUGGAAAGAACUUAAGAUGUUCUUUGAUCAAAUUGGGGUAGUGAUUGACUGCUUCAUGCCCAAACAAUCGAUGAGAAGGGCUGCCAGAUUCGCGUUCAUCUGAUACCGAACAGCAGAGGAAUUGAACAGAGCCAUAAGACGGGCAGCAUAUCCGGUUGGAUGGAAGGUUUCUAGUCAUCGAAGAGGCUGAUAAGCCUAAGGAAAGGAAUGAUGAGGAAGGACCUGUGAUGCACCAAAACAAGAAGGAGCUCUAUGGUGGAGAUCAGAAAAGCUCAUAUAGAGAUGUGGUAACCUGAGGAGGUAGUGAGGGCAAUAGGAGUGGGGUUCGUGCGACACUAACCAAAACCUAACAGGGGCUAAAGGUGGAUAGUGUCAAAGUGGACAUCAAUGAGGAAGAGGUUGAAUGGCUCAGGCUGAGUGCAAUGGGGAAACUUAGGACCAAAACAAACUGCAAGGCGAUUCAGAGUGCAUUAUUCAGGGAAGAAGUCUCUGCUGGGGGUUUGAAUGUCCUUAUUAAGUUAAUGAUAUAGAACUUCUUCUUGAUCAGUAUACUGAAAUUUUUAAUGUCUCGUUCAAAGAGAUCAAAUCAUAUUGCUUAGCGAACGAUGAGAGGAUAUAUAUGGUUUGGGUCUGAAUUGAAGAACUACCUUGCAUCUCUGGCAUGCGAGAAUUUUUGAAACAAUGGGAAAUGUUUGGGGAAAGUUCAUUCAAACACACUUAGCAACCAUAGGCAGGACCAGGUUGGAUGUGGUGAGUAUCAAGGUUGAAGUGCUAAGCAGGAAUAUUCCCGCGUGCCCCCAGAUCAUCGUCAGUGGCAAGCUAUACACAAUGAGAGCAACAGUGGUUGGAGUGGAAUCGUGUGAUUUGGACUGUUUGGUGCCUGGAGGGGCUAGAACAACCAGGUCAGGUUAUCACCAAUCAAACAGUAAGGUUGGUCCUAGGGAGAAGAAGGAGAUAAAACCUCAACCGUUAAUGUAGAUGAGGUGGAGUUGGGUUUCAAAGGAACAGUGGUGAUGAUGUCUAGGGAUGGGCAAUCGGAAAAGCCAAUACAGAUGGGUAUUGGGAGUCCUCAAUUAUCGGGGAAAGCUGAUGGGUAAAGCUGGCAUGGUUGACCAACCAAGGUGCUUCAAAUCUUCUGGAUUGGAGGGAAACCCGAAUGAGGAAUUAGCCACACGGGCUGAAGGCCAAGUAAUUAUGGGCUUGAGAAGUGUGACUGCCCUUCCAUCGAGAAUGCCAAAUGCAGGGGGCCAGGUGACAAAAGAGAAUGGGCCCAAAGAAAGAAAAAAGGUAAGGAGAGAUGUUCAUAUGAGCCUUGUGAGGAUAUUGGGUCGAGAAGGGAUGAUGGAUCUUAAAGUUCAGAAGGGGAUCCAGUCCUUCACGCAAAGUAUGGCCUUUGGGGCCUUAAAAGGCUUUACGUGGAUAAUGGGGCCAGUCCUAGUAGUCUAAAACAUCAAUGAAUAAUUAUAUCCAGUCAAGGGAGUGGAAAAUGCCCAUGUCAGGACCAUGAGAUAAAAAACAAUGAGUUUGGGGGUAAGUGAUAGGAAGAUGAAGGCUCAAUUCCAAAUGAGAGUAGGCGGAGUCUAACGAAAAUGGGAUGACUUAGGAUGAAGUUUGAUCAGAGGAUUCAGUGGUGAAUGAGAUCUCAAGGGAGACGAGUCAACGAUUGUUCAGAUAUAGGAGAGCUUGAGCGAAGACAUAGAGAUCCGGGAUUAUCACAUGCUGAUGAUGUUGUGUUAAUUGAUUGGAUGAGAUUGAUGGGUAGGAUGAACAAAGGAAAGAGCAAAGAUCAAGGUAAAAGGAAGAAAAGCCCCAAAGAGCAAGGAUGGUAGGGCAGGUAGAAAAUUGGCUUAAAGGCAAUUAAAGAGUUGGGUACAAGCAGUGGACCAACAAGCAAAUGACCGAAAGGAGGCCGAGGAUUCUAAUUUUUCCUCAGAAAAGAGCUGAUGGAGGGAUAGUUUGCGAUUAAGUGAUGGGAAUUUUGGGAUGGAGAACAAUGAAUUGGGGGAAAGGGACGCAAGGUGCGAAAAAUGCGAAAAGGGAAGACAGUGAAAAAUUGCUAGUGCCCAAAUCAAAAAAAGAGCUUAGAAAUAUCAUGAUCUGGGAGGAGGCAUCAGCAAUGAUGGACAUAUGUAGUGAUGGGAAUUUGGGGAUGGUGAACAAUGAAUUGGGGGAAAGGGAUGCAAGGUGCGAGAAAUGGGAAAAGGGAAGACAGUGAAAACAUUGCUAGUGCCCAAAUAAGAUAAGGAGCUUAGAAAUAUAAUGAUCUGGAAGGAGGCAUUAGCAAUGAUGGACAUAUGUAGUAGUGUGGGUUUGGAGUUUCAAGCGAAAAAGGAAGUACUCCAAGAAAUGACAGAAUGGGAGGCAAUUGGCUUUUGAACUUAUCCUGAGACACUGUUCAGGUACGACUAUGUAUGCUUUUUAUUAAUGAUUAUACUAUCUUGGAAUUUGAGAGGUGCAGGGGUGGAAAAAAGGCGAGCACUAUGACGAGCGAUUACCAAAUGCAAGCAGAACAUGGUGUUUGUACAAAAAACAAAUAUGCAGAGACCAUAUGAUGGGAUUUUUAAAAAGUUAUGGCAAAGAGACCGAGUGGUAGGGAGGCCAAUGAAGUCAGAAGGUAAAGCAGGUGGCCUUAUUAAUAUGUGGCAGGACUUCUUCAAUUGGAGGUCAUUUGAGCACAAGAACUAUUUGUUGUUGAUUAGAAUGGUGAGCACAUUGAAUAUCAGAUGUUGAUUUAGUAACUUUAUGCACCAAAUGAUGAAGGAAAGCAAAAUGGGGUGUGGAAUGAGUUGAAAUUGGUUGUGGAAAGAUCUGGAAUUAUGUAGGUUCUCGGGGGAGACUUUAAUGUAGUAAGAAGAGACAAGGAGAGAAUUGGAAGAGGUGAAGUGGGGUGCUUGGUAAUGAGGUUUGAUGAGUUUAUAAAUGAAGUGGACUUAGUAGAUCUAUCUCUGAUUGGGAGUAAAUUCACAUGGUGUAACAUCAGAGAGGAGCUAGCAUUUAUUAGACUUGAUCGUUUCCUGGUGGCGGCUGAUUUAUUGGAUAGGGAGGAAAGCUUGGUCCAAAAAUGCUUGCCAAUCUCGAUCUUGGACCACAACCCAAUUGUACUAGGAUUGGGAGUGGUGGAUUGGAGACCCAAGCCUUUCAAGUUUCUCAACUACUAGAUGGAUGAGAAAAGCUUCAAAACCAUUCUUAAGGAUUAUUGAGACAGCAUGGAUGAAGGAAAUAGGGGAGGGAACAGCCUUGGGAGGAAACUUAAAGGCCUUAAACCAAUAUUGAAGGAAUGGCACAAGCAAAUCUCUGAGAACAUUCAAGAAAAAAUUACCAAGUUGGAGGCUGAGCUUCAGAGUCUUAAUGAGAUAUGGCAGGAAGGGACAGCUGGUCUGGAUAUCAAAUAGGUGGUAAUGGCUAAGAGAGAUAAGUUGUGAGAUUUGUAUAGAAUUGAGGAAAGGGAAUGGCAACAAAAAUCUAGAGUAAAGUGGAUAAUUGAGGGGGGUUCACAACACUUGUUUCUUCCAUAUCAGGGCCUUAGCAAGAUAAAGAACUAACUUGAUUCAGCAGCUGAAAAUUGAUGUAAGGUACGGUCAAUCGGAAGAAAUAAAAAUGCAAUGGCUCAAUACUUUGCUGAAUUCUACAAAAGCAAGAGGGUGUUCAUGUUGAGGGAGUUUCAUUGUCCAUUUAGGGUGUUGAGUACAAAGGCGGCUGAUAUUUUGGAAAAAUGCUUCUCGGAAAAAGAGGUAUGAGAUACCCUAUGCAAUUGUGAUGGGAACAAGGCCUCGGGACCCAAUGGGUUUAAUUUCAGCUUCUUUGAGAAUCCGUGGGAUGUGGUGAAGGAUGAUGUAAUGAGGAGCUUGGAGGUAUUCUUCAAAACAGGAAAAUUGGAACAUGGAGCUAACAAUUCUUUUUUCACUUUGAUUCCCAAAGUCCAAAACCCUUCCAAUAUUUUUGAGAAUAGGCCGAUUAGCCUUGUGAGGAGUUUAUAUAAAAUUUUGGCGAAGCUCCUAGCGAAUUGACUCCAAAUGGUUAUUGGGAAGGUUAUUAGAGGCAAACAGUUUGCUUUUGUGAAGGGGAGACAGUUGAUGGAUUGUGCCUUAAUAGCCAACGAGGUAAUUGACAUUUUAGAGAAAGGGCAAAAAGGAGGAUUCCUAUUCAAAGUUGACUUUGAGAAGGCCUACGAUAGUGUGGACUGGGGUUUCCUUCAGUUUAUAAUGGGGAAGUUAGGGUUUGCGAGGAAGUGGAGGAAAUGGAUAAUGGGUUGCCUAACGACUGAUAAUAUUUCUGUUCUUGUUAAUGGCGUCACAACCGAAGGAUGGAAAAAGGCUUAUGAUAGGGCUGUCUGCUUUCACCAUUCUUGUUUAAUAUUGUGGCAGAGGCUUUUAGCUAGAUGAUGAGUAAGGCUGAAGUUCUACAAUUGUACCAAGGAGUUCCUAUUGGUCGGAAUGGGCUUGUGAUCUCUCAUCUACAGUUUAUCGACGACACUAUGAUUUUCUACAAACCUCAGCAUCAAAAUCUUAUCAAUGCUAAGAGAGUUUUGAGAUGCUUUCAACUUGUGUGCAGCCUUAAGAACAAUUUCCACAAGAGCAGCCUAAUAGGUAUUGGUGUGGAUGAUCAACUGGUUAGAAGAAGAGCAGGAACGAUUGCAUGUAGGAUAGGGGAACUUCCAUCGGUGUACUUGGGGCGAGGCUGAACUCUAAAAUAAUUUGGAAACCUAUCGUAGAAUAGUUUGAGACAUGCCAUGCGGGAUGGAAAACAAUGGUUCUCUCAAUAGGGGUAGAGUUACCCUUCUUCAACUGGUGCUUGUGAGCCUCCCAAUCUUCUUCAUGUCUUUGUUCCCAAUUCUAAGAGAAGUGAAAAAUGAGCUGGAAAAAAUAAAAAGAAGGUUUCUAUGGAGUGGAGUUCAGGAAAAACGGAAAAUUCAUGACAUAGGAUGCGAUAAGGUCUGUAGAUACGAGGAUGGUGGGUUGGGUAUCAUUGAUCUGGAAAUUAAAAAUAGAACGCUUCUUAAUAAAUGGAUAUGGAGGUAUGGGAGAGAGAGGGAUAGCUUAUGGAGGGAGGUGAUAGUGGAGAAGACCAGAGGGGGUCCCACCAAUCUUCUGCUCAAAACAAACACAAACAGGGAGUGUUCCUCUGCUUGGAAAAACAUUAUUAAGCCUCUUUCACCUAUUAACCAAAUUUUCAUCCAGGUUUUAUUUUUCACAUGGUUAUAGGUAAUGAAAGGCGUAUCCAGUUUUGGACAGACAGGUGGACCAAGGGCAUCCUCAAGGAAAGCUACCCCAAGAUUUUUGCACUAGCAACCGACAAAGGUGGGCUGGUCAAUGAGUAUGGCAAAUCGAACAAUGAAAAUUGGGUGUGGCAUAUCAAUCUAAGACGAUAUCCUUUUGGAUGGGAGGAAAACCAAUGGGAACAAUUCAAACCAUAGUGGAGUAUCAUUUAUGUAAGGACCUUGAGCACACCUUGGUAUGGAAAAGCUCGGCAGCGGGGAAGUUCUCUAUUAAAUCUUUCUGCAAAGAUGCAAUAUGGGUCAACAGCCCCGACAAGGGAGUGUGGAAAGAAAUUUGAGCCGGCCUUGCUCCGUUUAGAGUUGAGGUCUUCCCUUGGCAGUUGAUGCAUGAACGGGUUGCGGUUAAGCAUGAGCUGAUCAAAAGACGUAUGAUUACGGAGGAUCUUGCUGGAUGCACUUUAUGUCAUGAUGAGAUUUAAAUUGUUGAGACACUUAUUUUUCCAUUGCAAAGAAACAUGGAGAGUGUGGAUAAGAUGGUGUGAUAUAUGGGGGGUUAAAUGGAUCACUCCUAAUGAUGUGGGAAUGUUUUUGAGAUUAUGGAAUAACACUUUAGUGAAACAGGGGGACCAAAAAGUUUGGAAAUUGGGGUUUUAUGCAAUCGUAUGGUUGGAUUGAGGAAUGAAAGGAGGUAUGUGCUGGUAAGAGGAUUGUUACUGACGGCCAUUGGUGAAGGGACAUGAGGCUCACAGUGGUGCUUUGUGGGGAUAAUAGCAAGUACUUCCUCUUCUCCCUUAAUGCUCUGUUAAUGUGCAGCUGCAUCAUUUAUUUUUGUUAUGGCCCUGUUUUUUGUUUUAAUCCGAACCCUAAUGUGUUGUCAUGCUGGGUGUAUGUUAUUCUGGUGCUUUGUCUGAUUGGGUUACAAUUGUUUAUAGGCUGGGGGUAGGAUUUGGUUUUGAUGUCAGGUUGAGCUAUACAAAGCUGAGUUAUUUUUUGUAUAGGGAAUAGGUGUACGGGGUUUGAUCAUGGGAUCCAGGGGCUUUUGGCUUGGACAUUUGUACAGGGGAUGGAGUUUUGAGAUCAAUAUACUUUUGGUGAUUGUAUAAUGAUCUCAAAACUCUUUUUGAAUCAGAUGAAGGACUGAUUUUCCUUCAAUCAAUGAAUUGUACCUUUCCAAAAAAAAAAAAAAUGCGCUAGUCCUUUUCUGAGGACAAUUAAAAAAGACAAAAGAGGGCAAAACAAAUAAUUUUUUGCAAGGAUACCAGAUUACCAGGGAGUUAAAGGGCCAAAAUGAAGUGUUUUGCCCCCUUGAAUUUCAAAUAAACAAAAGAAACUUGUGAUCUUGAUUUAGCAGAGUACUAUUGACAGUGAUAAAAAUCUAAAUCAAAUUGAUAUUACUGAAAAGCAGAAUAGGAGCUUUAACUCUCCCUCUCUUUCCCAUCUAUUUAUCUGUUUCUCGCUCUUAAGUCUUAAAUCCACUUUGCCAUCUAUUGUAUCUGGUGUCUCUAUAUGCCUCUGAUAACAACUUAAGCACCACAUCAAAUGAUUUCAAAAGAUUUAUCCAAUUUGCAAAGCUUUGUAUCAACUGUUAUUUUUUGUUCUAAAGAUCUAUCAAACCAACUAAACAUCUGCUUCAACAACUAUCUUUUGGCGAAAUAAUUUGCAUCUUUCCAUCAUCUCCUUUUUCUCUUGAAAAUCUGAACAGCUAAAUCCUAACAACAGGCCUUAAUUUAUUGUGAUUUUGUUGCCUUUUUUCUUUCCUUUCUUUCUUUAUUUUUAAAUGCAAUUGUUGAUUCGUUUUAGCACACAUUUAUGAUGGAAAAGCACAAAAAGCAUGAAUUGGAUGCUAUUCUCUUGCUCUGUACUGAUAAAUUUAACGCAUCAAAGCCACCAAGGCAUUCUAUGCUUUGAAGCAUGCCAUGAGGCAUGUCUUAGAAACACCAUUUAAAUCAUAGGUUGAUAUCAUUCAGAUAUAAAAGGUUUCCUAAAUCUAAACUCUAGUUUUUCUAGUAGUAAUUUCAAUUUGAGUUGUGAAGUACAGUUUCUGUUGCUUUCUACUGAGCCUGAUGUCUCAUUUGACUAAACAAGAAAAUGAGAAUAUCAGUCAAACACACACAACUUUCCAAAGAUAUCAUUCUAUUUGCAGGGACAAUGAAAAACACCAAAUCAAACGGACAAAUUCAAGCAGACGCAUUGCUCCUAUUUCAUCCUCAAUAUGUUGCAUUCAGAUUAUAACUUUAUAUGAUAGACAAUUGGUAUUACAGGAUGCAGAACUGCAGUAAAAGUUUGAAAAGUUACCUUCAAGAGCAGGCAAGUUUGUCAGAAAUGCCACCAAAGCAGGUGGUGUUGCUUUCAGUACUUCAUCAAAUGCAUUGGCAGAUCCACUGUCUACUGCAGAAAUUGUGGGAUUUGACAAGGGGUUGGAAGCAGCAAGAAUUGCAGGAGCUGUUGUGUUUGGAGGAGCUGCAGUUCCUGCGUAUGAACAAGUUCAGUUUAAUAAGUAUGUACUAAUUCAAUAUGAUUCAACAAGCAUAUAAUUCAAUGAUGUCAAAGUUAAAAACACGAUAUUUUAACAUUCUGGUCAUGUCAGUUUCCUGAGGUAAAUAAGCAGAAAUGCUAAAAAAGAAGCUGUUAACCUUUUCAAGCCUAAAGAAUGAUUGGAAAACAAAUAUCAUGUGCGGUAUACAUCUUAACCUUGUUAGAUUUUAAACAUCCAACCCCCACCCUCUCUCAAAACCUUCCCUCUUCUAUUGCUCAAAAGGGGGUGAUGACAUAAAAAAGGGAACGAAAAUGGAAACACCCAAAAUCUUAAUGACUAUAAUUCCUACGAAUUACACCUAGGAGUAUAACUUCAUCACAUGAUCAACCAGCUUCAUUACCAUUGCAGUUACUCUAAAAACUGUUUUCAACAAUUGAAAAGAGCACAGAGUUAUACCUGUUUAGAGGGAAAGACUUCAAAAAGAAUAAUAAUAGUAAAAAGUUACAUGAUUUUAUUUAACCUAUUUAACUCAUUAUUCCAGCAACUUCAAAAAUUUAGAAUCUCAGAUCUUCCUUGAUUAUUUUCCUUCUGCCUAUUCAGUUGGCCAAAAUUGAACUUAAGGAAAGGUCUCUUAUGGCUUUCUAUUAUGUUAGAGUUUGAGGACCAUCAAAAGGAUUCCAAUACCUAGAGCCAAACUUGAUUAAUACAUCUUCUAACAAUUACCAAAUCAGGGCUUAGUUAUUACUGUAUUAUUUACAAUUUUACAAUAAUCAAAAGAACCGAUACCUGGAGCCAAACUUGGCUCUGACAUCUUUUGACAAUUACUGAAAAAAGAACAUUUUCUAUACUUUCUUUUCCUGUGACUAAAACACCAGAACACUAGGUCCUUUGGCAGUAUUUUAUUGUUCUCUUAUCAUUUAGCAUUCUCAAAUCUUUUUUAUUUUUUUCUCUUUUAUUCUCAGAUUUGCUUUGCCAGGAUUCACGUCAUAGUAUUUAUAGAAAGAUGGAUAGCCAUAAUCCUAGGUAUAACAUUCCAAAUUCUACGAGAACUAGGACACUUUUAAUAAAACUGUUUUGCUAUCUAUAGACAAAUGAUUUUGGCUUGAUUUAUUAGUUACCCAUGCAUGUCUUGUAACUGUUACUUGCCAGUUUUACAUCAUUAAUUGUUCAAAUCAUCAGAGUAUGUCAAAGAUUGAUCAUGUGACAGGAUACAUACCAGAUUUGGUAAAAGGAUCUUAGAUUAAACUCACAAAACUGAGAAGUUUGUAGAAAAGUUCUAGCUUGGUUAGCUACAAUAUUGAGAUAGCCAUAAAUAAUUCCAAAGGUCAUUAUUGGCACAUGGAACAAUCCAGCACCAUCAGUGACAAGGUCAAAUGAAAUCGUUUUGUCACCACAUGACAGUCCUUACCCCUCUUUAUUUUAGAGUGAGUGAGUUGUCAACACUUUAUUAACUGCAUUAAUGAUGCCUCUUUAGCCUGUAAAUGUGCCUGAUAUAACCUCAAUCUUCAGCAACUCAACCAGACAAAUAACACAACUUCUAUCUUUACAUUCUAAAGAUUACCAAACCAAAAUCCUAACAAAAACUGAACUUGAUGAUUUACACAGAGAAGAAACUACACCAGGGACAAAACUAUGGCAUAAUCUUGCAUAAGAUACAAGCAGCUUCUUACCCUCAACUAUAGCAAUUUAGUGAUCUACACUUGCUUUAUGUUCUCAAGAGAUUGACAAUAAUUUUAUGGCCAUACCUAAACGAUUGUGACAAACCUCACCUCAACCAGCAAGUAGUGGCAAUGAGCACUUUUUGUUCAGAUUCUAGUCUGAACAGAACUUGACACUAAGGCAAAGGAAAAAUGAGUAAACCCUGACUCAGAUUCUAGUUCUCUUUGAAGGAACUCUAUAUCAACUUAGAAACAACCCUAAAGUACUACUGCAUAGAGUGGUAUCCCCUUUCCCUCAUCCCAACCAAAAGAGAGAGAGAGAGAGAGUAAAUAAGGGAGAGUGCAGUGUCAAUAAUAAAAAUGUAAACUCCAGAAAGAAAUUUGCAAUGAUCUGCAGAGAAGGAAUUUAGACUAAAGUAACAAACCAAACAUUGAAAGUUGUAAACUCUUGUCCUUCAGCAUUCCCUUUAUUUAAUGUAUUUUCCCUUUUGCAUAUUUAUUCUUCUGUUGCAAGCCAAUAUUCUUUUCUUUGUUUUUGUCCUGGUUUAUAGCAUUUGAUUAUUACUACUACAGGUGAUAGACUCCUUAGAGUUGCAAAAGGUCUCUUUAGUUUUAUAUUCCUUGAUCACCUGACAGCCGACUAUAAAUACAUUACUUUAAAUGGCACAUCUAUAACUGUUGUUGUGGACAUCUGUGUCGAACAUUGAAAAACUGCACUUUAUUCUUAUAUUUAAUGGUGAAAUAAUUCAAGACUUGUUAACUAUGAGGGUCGAGCAUGUGCUUCUCCAUUUGAUGUGCCAUCUGUGACAGACCAGUGUGCCACAUACCAAGACAUGGACCAAGGUUUUGCACCAAUUAUAACAGUAAUGAUCAGUUAGCAAUCAACUCAAGCAUCCAAAGUUUUAUAUUUGUAAGUCAUAAGUAUGGGGGGACAGCUUUUAUUCUCAACUUAUGUAUGUAUCAAUAAAUGACAAAUUGCUCCUCUUAUCAUAAGCAUGCUUCCAUAUUAACCCUAAAUGAAAGUUAAACCUACAGCUUAAAACAAAUUCACUCCAAGCAAUCCAAAAUUUUAAAAAAUAAAAAUAAAAAUUUCCCUAAGAGACAUAAAACCCUUAUUACUAAAGGAUUACAUAGCUCUUCUAUAAAAAAGAACCAAAAAAAUUAUAUAGCUCAGUAGUAGCAUUAACUAUAUUUUUUUUAUAGCUUUCUUCUUGCUUUCCUCUUGAGUUAAACUGAUAUGUACGACCAAUUUCUUUUCAGUCCUGAGCAGAGUUAUGGAGGUUAUUCUAUUGUAACUAUUCUACACAUCAUGGUCAAAAUUAGUUUAUUAUUUGCUGUCAAGAUUUUCAUAAUUAAGUUUGUACUAUGGAAAACAUACAAAAUAUUGGAGUUCCUACCUAGUCUAAUUUCCAGGCCAAAAAUAUAUAAAUAAAUAAAACCUACUACUAAUUUCCAUUGCUCUCAUUUUCCAUGGCACUUGAAUCAAUAAAAAAUGUUUAUGGCAGUUCCCUUAAAGUUGCCAAGGGAAACAGAAUCCCACAGGAAAGAAUCACAAGAUUGUUGAGGUCUAUACAUAAAAUUGUUUAUCAUAAUUAUCCAAAAAAAAAAUUUAUUACAUUAAACAAUAACUAUUCAUGCAUGGAUGAUUACAUGAGUCUUUAUAAAGGACUUCUUAUAAGUUUCUAUUUCAAUCCCACUAAGGACCAAUGCAUAACAUAUGUCAAGACUAUAAUAUAAACCUAAAGACAACAAGAAAGAUCCUCCAUCCAUCCACAAUCCCCAAAGUUGAUAAGGAAAAUAUAUACUAUUGAAAGCAAUCACAUGAUUAUUGAGGCCUAUAUUUUUUACCAAAAUUAAAGCAUGUUACUGAAAAAUAAUGAUUCCAGAAUUAAUACCAGAAUGUUGCCUUGGAUCAUAAACCACCAUCUGAGAUAUAUCUGGAUAAAGGACUUUAACAGAAGCAGUUGAAUUGCUUGUUGGUGCGGAUGGAUUCUUAUCUGCACAAAUGAAAACCAAAAUUAGUCCAAUGGGUACUAAUGGUAGCUAAAGAAGAUUUACCUGGAACAAGAACAAAUAGCAAAGAUUUACCUAUUGUCGCAGAUCCAUUAGAGAAAGCUGACUUUUCCACUUUCUUACCAAUGUUUUUAGCGAGCCACUGAAGAGAAUAUCAGUGGAGUUCAAAAAUUAGCAAUACGAAGUCAAUAAUUUCAACAUAAUGACACCAAAAGAAGAAGGUCAUCAGUGCUGCCCUUUCCUGUCUCUUUUAGUAUUUUGUUUCUAUAAUUCUUACAUCUUACAAAUACCAUCACAAAUACAGUUGUCAAACAAAAAAAAAAUCACACAUAAAGAAGUUCCAAAUUUCAUCAUAUUUAUUGCAGAGACACAGGCACCAAGAUUGAGCUUCUACACAAGAAAGCCCAAGAGUUAGACUUUCAACACCUACCUGAAGAUUGUUUGAUUUUUUAUCAAUUUAAGAAUGGUAGCAUCUUUAUGUGAUACUUAUAAAAUAAAAAAUGAAAAAUCAGUAAUUCACUGUAUGUCUACACUUCCGCUGUCUCAACACCCUAAACCAUACUAGAUAAAUGCUGUUCAAGAUCCAGGCACCUAGCAGGUAGAUGUUAUUGAGACAGACUUCAAUAAUCUGGGGCAAGAACAAAUCAGAGUAUUUGCAUUUGACUAGAGGUGUCCAAUGGUUGGAUUGCAUUUGGCUUAGUGAGAAGUUUAAAAGGAGCCCAAGUAUGGUUCUACCUUUACAAUGCCAUUACGUUAACCAUAUAAAGUACAAAGGUUAUGAUUAAAAUAAAGAUAAUGCUACUUACAAUAUGUAAAACAUCUAUGAACUUGCAUACCGCCAUUUCUAUUAUCAAAUACACAUUUUUCUUAUAUGGAAAUUUCCAACCUCAUUACAUCAAUGAACUUCCAAAUUGCCCAUCAUUCAUUAGCAUAUAUCUCUGAGUUAAAAUUUAGGCGUAUUUAUGACCUACUUCUCAAAUCCAUCACAACAAUCUAAACACUCAUCACUUUUUAAACACUCUCCUCCCACCCUCAAAAUUUUAAUGCAUAUGCUUUGACAGUGUUUACGAGCAUUUUUCAGUUGCUGGGGAAAGGAUAGGAGAACUGCUUAAGUCGUUUUUGUGUCUUCCAGUAUUACUGGGCCUUUAUCUGUGGUUCAAGAGUGACUGGAAGUAAUAUUUGCUAGUGCAACAUUUCAAACUUAAGUAACCUAUGUAUAUGCGUCAGUUCUUCUUGAAUUACUGUGGGAGGACAAGUAUAUGACAGCAUCCAACAACAGGUAAAUUUUUAAAAGUGUGUGAUCCAGGCCAUACAUAUAAGGGCAAUGUGAAUCUUCUUAGACAUGACACCUGAGCAAUCUGUGUGCAUUUUAUCUUUUUCCCUUAUAGGCCUUCAACACUCAGAAAUGCAACCAAGCAUAAAAUCUUCCCUUAUUUUGGCUAGUUCCAUUUAGAUGCCAAAACCCCUGUGCUCGCGAAACACUAACCUAAACGAGAAUCAGGUACUCAUCAAAUUUCCACCUAAAGAGUAAAUUACUAUUCACAAAUCAAGGCAGCACUAAAAAUCCAACAACCAAAGUUUUGUUACCAGUAUUAAUCCUAUAUCCAAACUCUUUGGAAGACUUAAUCUCACAAAUUUCUCGACCUUCUCAUAUACAAGUAAAAAUAGAUAUUAGCCCCUAAGCCACUGUUCACUAAACAUCCUAGUCACAUCUCCCGCAUUCAUUCUCAUAACUUGUCCUUCUGCUUAACCAUCCUUUCCAUUAUAAUCACCAGAAAUCACUUUUUUUUAUGUCUCGCCAAACAUAAUUUCUGUUCUAACAGUAAUGCAUCAUACCAUCACUUUUUUUUCUCUCUCAAGAUUUGUAGCAUUAACCAAGUAUACAAAUUAAUAACCUUUAAAACUGUCUUUCUCAUGCAAAUAUUUCUUUUUUCCUAAUUUUCUGAUUGAAAAGUUUGUUUCUGAAGUGUCACUUCCAUCCAACAAUUUACAGUCAUGACUAUCAGAAACUACCAACUCUAAAUACAAAAACUAAAUGCAAAAGCCAAAAGCGCAUGAAGUCAAGGCAUCACUGAGAACAUCAGUAAUUUAUUAUUUUGGCAACAAGACAUGAUUAUUUACACACAGAUCAAACAAAUGAAUGAAGGAUGCAAUAUAGAAUAAACCGUCUCAGACACAAAAUGGUAUAUUCAGAUAGGAGUAACCUCUUGUCGGGACAAAUGGUCAAGAUCCUUGGAAGUACAGGGCCAGAGAUCCUUGAAACUGUAGCGUGCUACAACAUCUUGUAGAGAACUCUCCAACACAGAAGCAGCCUCUUCACUUUUGCCAGAAAGAGCUUCCUUCCGUCUUUGCUCAACCUAUAUGAAGACAAAUAUAGUAGCUCUUAUAACGGGCAAAGAAACACAAUUACCAAAGAUAAAGAUUUCAGGGUUAAUGUUUAAAUCACAAAUUCAAGAUAAUGUUCAAUAAAGCUGAUCUACCAAGUCUUUGCCAAACAAUGUCAGUAGCAUUUAGAAUAAAAUGCUCUGACUCUAUGUUUUCCUGUGAAUUUAAGAGCCACCAUAGUUCCAGUUUCAAAAUCAAACUGGAAAUCUACAGCAGCUUCAAAAUAAUAUCCAGAACACUUCCAUUUAUAACAGAAACAAGGGUUCUAAGAAAUCUAGAGCAGCUUCAAAAUUAAGCUCGAAAACAAAAAGUACCAAGUAUGAUCCACUAGAAAAUUGCUACCUUCAACAUGCUAGCUAGAUCACCAUAAGUUUGCUCAAACUGGGUGAAUUGUUUCCAGACCUGCAAAGUAGGGCAGUGUCAUGUGCAUUUACUACAUUGUUAACAAACAAUUAGCAAAGUUGCUUUUAAAGAGAAGAUUUUCAGUAACACUAUCUAUAUACAAACUUAAUUCAACUUGUCCAAGAAAAAAGAGAGUUUCCUUGUACUUGGAUGCUCCUAAUCAUUCAAAACUAAAAAAAAAAAAAAGAGAAGAAGGCAAAGAUUUAAUCACUUUCCAGCAUAAUUCCACCAUAAUUUCUAUGUAGGAGGAAAAAUUUUAACUCUUCAUCAGUUUUACAUUCAAUAUUAAGUUAAAUAUAGUACCUCAAUAGAUUCUUCUUGUGGUAGUGAGCUUAAUGCUCGCUCAAAUAAUGCCCGGAUGUUUCUGUCAUCAUUCAAACAAGACAAAAAAUCUGCAUAUCUGCACAUAUCAGAAUAUAACACUGUCUUUAUCCACAUUGUACAGCAUUAAUUGCAAUGAAAACAACGAAUCAUAUCGCAAAUUUAAUUCAUUAUCCAAAAAUAUUAAGGCAUUUAGCACACUUUGGAACAACAGUUGACACAUCAAAGAACACUUUGGACAUAAGUUAACAACACCUCAAACCAACUUAGGCACACCAAUCAGCAUCACUACAAAAUGCAUUAAUGUACAUAGGAACGCAGAAAAAUUGGUGAUGCAGCAGAUGACUUUCUUUAACAGAAGACAGAUAUAUUUUAAUUUUAAAAAUUAUACCACAAGCUAGAGAACAGAAUUUAUGAUUGAACUCUUGUUCCUCUCAACAAUCUUCUCUUGUAAAACUAAAAACUUCAUUUCACUAUCUCUAGGACUAAAAAACUUAAAAUUGAGAAUUUCUAGAAGACAGGGUCAUGUAUUUUAGUCUUUCUAUUUAGACGAUUCGCAUGGUAUUGUCAUAUCUUCAUAAGAUUCAAGGACCAACUAUUGUCUAAACCUUUUCAAAAAAGUUUGAUGACUGAACAUGUCAAGUUCUCUCCAACCAACCCCAAUUAAAAGAAACUAAACAGUGUUAGACUAACCAUGAAUUUGAAAUGAUCUAGAUUGAAAGUAAAAAUUCUUCUUUGGUUAGCCAUUGAAACAACAAAAGUAAUUAUGAUCAAGGGAAAGGAGUUAAUACUUGACUCAGCUUAAAAUUUACUGCCAUGAAAUCUUGAACUUCUGAUUUCAUCUGAAACCUAAUGUAUAGUAUGCUUAUUACUAAGUAACAAUGGGAAUUUUCAAGAAGAAAACAUCAAAGAGAAACAAAUACCUACAAUAAUAUCCAAGCACUAUUACAUGAGUAUAGUUAACAGAACAAUAAACUUACUCUAGGAUGUAUGCAGGCUCAUGCAUAAAAUGUUUCAAUCCUGCUUCAAAAACAUUGUGAGCAACCUGCAUGAAGAAUGGCAACAGUAAAAGUUAAUCAGCGAGUAUUUUCAUAAAUAAAAUUAGUAACAUGGCAUUUUUUGGUUGGCAAAUAGCCAAUUCUAUGUUGAAUUAUUGUUAAUAACAUUAAACCUCCACAAUGGUUGUGGAGGGAGAGGAGACAUAAGGUACAAGAAAAUGAAUGGUUCUAAUAAUCAUCAUCUUAACUGGCAGUGUUCCUUUAUGCCAUUCACUUCCAACACAUAUAAGCUGCCACAUUAAAAGUGAAGCUAGUUAUAUUUUACAGAAAAUGAAAGGAAUAGCACCUUUGGGUCCUUGUCAAGACAAAAAGCCAUCAAAGCAUAAGCAACAUAAACAUGAUACGUGCAAGUAGGGGUUUUACGAGCAUCUAAGAAAUACUUGCGAGCUGCUUCAACACCUUCAGUCCUUCUUAUAAAGCGGAUAAACUGCAGCCAGGAAACAUAUGGAAUCAAUCAUUAGACUUAAAAAUAAUUAGAAUUCCAGGUAACAUAAUUUUCACAAGUCGCUUUUACAGGCCAUUACAGACAAACACUUCAGACAUACAAUUUGGGAAAAAUGUAAACUUAGUUUAGAGAGAAUAACCCAAGUACAUGAUCUUUAGGAAGUUUGCUAUUGGGGAAGGCUCGGUCCUCUAGUUUUAACCAUGUAAUACACCAUAUGCAUGUUUAAUCACAAGGAGGCAAUUAAGCACUAUUUGUUUUAACGCUUGCACUGAAUGUCGAAUAUUAUUCCAAGCAUUACUGUAUUGAUAAAAGCAUUAUAUUUAACAACCUACAACUUCCUUACUUGUAUAUGUGCUAGUGCUGUAGUGUCAGCACCAUUCCCCAAAAGGCUUUCAUAUAAUUUCUUUGCAGACUGCAUCAACAGGUAAGCAAAAUCAGAAGGCAAAGAGUCAAAAAUUCAAAACUUUAAGUGGAAAUAUUAACAGUUUUCAUACUUGGAUUGCUCCACGGGAUUCCUCUAGCUCUGCAUAUGCAUAAUUUAGCAUUUCUGAAUCUGAAGAUCAAGUAACCAGAAAGCAGAUGGAAAGUUAGAAAGGUGACAGAAGAAAAGGGGCACGAGGCUUACUCCAGGCAAAGCAACAUACAAAGAUAAAAAUGGCAAGAUGGGAAUAAGUCAACAGAAAUAUUCUAAACAAGUUUCUCCAGUUAAAGAAAGAAGAAGAACCAAUUACCAGGAAGAGCCUUCAAGGCUCGCUGAAACACCUUGGUCGCAGCAUCCAUGGAGCCACUUUUUGCGUGCCAUGUAGCAUAAUCAUACCAUAUAUCAGGAUAAUGGUAUAAAUACAUUAGACACUGGGGACAUGAAGAAUGCAGCAAACAACAGUACAUUAAUAAAUGCAAAGGAUGAAGAAAUGCAAAACAUUUAGCAAGAAAAGAAUUUAGACAAAAGAGGACUAAUAAAUCCAUGCAUCUAUAGAUAUUGGAACAUACUAACCAAAGUCAAUGGCUCCCUGGGGGAUAUAAGUACUAACAAAAUUAAGAAAGGGAAACUAAAAAAACCUUUUUAUUACAAUGUAGAUUAAAAGUUAGAAACAUUUGAAAAUAUUUCCACACCUCUAACUAUUGCUUCAUGUAAUUGGCACCCCUUACUCAUUGCAGUCGCAGAAUUGCUUUUCAAGAGAAUAUUUUCAGUAACACUAUCUCAAGGGAGCAAACCAUGAAAUGACAACAAAUGUCUUGUCAAAAACACUACUUUGUCAACUUUCAGCAUAGAAUACAUCAGGAAGACUUCGUAAAAAAAAUGGAAAAGCUUAUAAUUAUACCCCCAAUUACCACUCUGCUGGUUUGGUUGAUGGCCCACUCUUUUAACUUACCAUUUUAAGGCAGUCAAAGCAAGUGCCUAGACACUAAGGCACAAUGCUAUUCAACAAGAUCACCUAGCACCGCUUAAGGUGAGGCAAAUUUUUAAUUCUACAUAAAUCAAUUAUACUUAAUGUGGUUUAAUAUUUUAGUCAUUUGCCUUUUUUUUUUUUUUGAAUCUGACAUGAUUUUGCUCUUUACUAGUUGCUUUUGCUUUAUAGUAACGUCCAUGAAAGUAAAAAGCAAUUAGCAAAAAUUAAGUACCAAAACUAGAGCAAACGGAUACUAGAGGUCUGAGUUGAGCUCCAUUAAAUUCCCAAAUAAGGCUGAAACCGAUUAAUGCAGAAGACACUAUCCAGAAAAAGUUGGCGAGUUUAGACAAAAGAGCAUGGAAAUGAGGACCGCAUAAGUCAAAGCAGAAAGAAAAUAUAUCAAUUAUUUAAUGAAGUACUGAAUAUUCAGCUACCUGUUCAUAAGUGAAUAUAAUUCGCUUGUUGGAGGAGGCACUAUCUAUCCUUUGAGGAUUUCCUCUGAAACACAGUUAAAUCAAAGGUUAAGGAUGUUUAAUCUGAUUCAGAAUUUGUCCUUUCUAAAUUUAUUUAAUUAUUCAGGCACCAGAGAAUAAGGGAAACUAAACCUUCAGGAUAAGAUAAUUUGAAACACAACAAUGAUACAGCUAUAGGUGUUCUAGCUAUAGUCAGCACAAUAUUUGCUUCGCUCUUAUAGGUGUUCCAAAUUCAAAACAUGGAAAUUGAUGGCAGUCCAUGUAACUGCUGACUUGUUUCCAGUUUACAUGAUAUUUAUGCUCAGUAGAACUAAAUAAAGUCAAUCCCCAAAAACAAUGUAUUAAAAUAACAACCCAUAUCUCAUAUCAUAAAUCGUAAAGAUAAUUUUUUUUAAGGAAAAAAUAAUAAAUAUCUAUAGUGGGAAUGCUCAAGUCAAUAUAUCUUUACCACAGCUGAAAUUCAACCAUAGAAAAGCAUGAAAAGAAGGUGGAAGGAAUGCUUUGCUUCUUACUUCUCAAAGGCUAAAAGCCUCUUCCAUGUCAUCCAUUGCAUUUCUUCCUGUAAGAUCACAAUGACAUGUUAGAAAUGCAGAAACUAAGAAUGUAAUGCUUUCAAUGAAAGAGAACUAUUCAGACAUUUUAAUAUAAGCAGCUUUGUAAGUUAUAUGGGCCUCUGCUCUAUCAUAAAUCACACCACAAAGAAAGCAAGAUGGACAUUGCAACGCAGACUUUGAUGUUUUGCUAUAUGUUGUUAUAUUUGCUCAUAUUUGCAUUAUAAUUUAGAACUUUUCAAAGCCUAGUUUAGCGCUUGCUUUGUCUAACUGUGUGAACAACGGCUUCAGUUGCUAGGUGCCUCGUUUUAUGCAGGAAACUGCCUCCCAAAGUCUUAAAAACAGGUGCAAAGGCCAGCUAUAAUGCCCGAGCCUUAAUUUUGCAGAUGGACACUGAUGAGAAAUUUUCUGGAGCUUGCAUACUUUCUACUAUUUUAAUUUGAGUAACAAUCUUAUGUUUGUUUAUGAUAGAAAGUAAAAGAUCUCAUUCUACCAAGAUUUAGUUCAAUUUAGAAGUUUGCUGAGUGUUAGCUGGAGCAUAGAGCACUAGCGUUAAGGCCUUAUUUUUUUAUAUUCGAUGUUGUCUGGACUAAAUUUAUUCCAAGAGGUUUCAUAUACUUAAUCGUUCAUCCCUUACAUAGAGUCCAUUAUCAGACUAGGAGUCUACAAAUCAGAGACCUUAUAGCAAGUUAUGCUAAAGAUUGCAUGAAGCAAUCAACCCCAGGUGUUAUCUAUUAAGCCUAGAAUUUAUCUUUUUUUUCAUCUCUUCUUCAAUUUCAGUCAGUACUGUAAAAACAUAAAUUCAGAUCAACAAUCAGCUUUAGUUACUACUCAAGAACUCUAGAAAUAAUUAACUUUUUAUUGACAUUCGUUGCCUUUUAAGAUCCAUAGAAGAGAGACUGAGAGAGUAUUGUGUUGGAUUUAAAAUUAGUACUCGAUCCUAAACUCCUUAGUACGAGACUUCUAGCAAACUCUAACCUAAAUCACACAGACUAAUAAUCAAAAUCCCACUUAAGCAUCAUACUUCCAACAAAUCCCGGUUUACUUUAUCUUAACCCAGUACAAUACCACUUCUCAAGCCAUCUCUAUCCUUUUGCAACUCUUGAUGUAGGCAUCACAAACACUAGUUUUACAGCAGGUCUAUAGUGCUAAGUAUUGUCCCUAUAUAUUCAACCCAAAUAUGUGUGUGUAUACUAAAGAAUGAACUUCAAUGAGCCAAUAAAGCAAAAAAAACAAAAAACAAAAACAAUUUGCAGGAAAUUACCUUGCAAGAGUCGGUUGGUGGUACAGCAAGCAUAUUCCAAUCAAUUUCAUCCACAUAUUUCUUCCGUUCCCUAUACACAGCCCUUGCACUGUUAUAUUUUGGUUGAUAUUCAGAGAGAAGUCCUUUAGCCUGCUCAAUAAGAUCAUUAGCUCAGCAAUCGUAUAUAUUUACACAGAAUGCAUGCAACUGCACCAAACUAGCAAAUAUGAAACUAAAAUAAAAAAAUUCAGAUCAUGCAAAAUUUUACCAGUUGGCGGCUGACAGAAUUUUCAAAAUUUUCAUAAUCCUUCCAUAGCUGUUCAACGUGAUGAGUUGGAGUAACAAUAGCUUUCUGGUAAGCUUUCCGCACUGCAGUCAUCCGUUGUGACUCUUCCUGAGUGUUUGCAGCCUGCAAAACCAUCUUGUGCUAAGGAGAAUAGUAACAUACACACACAUACACAUACAUAUACACACGUGUGGGUAUAAAAGGUGAAUAGCAAUUUAAUGAUAAUGGAAAAUCUAGAAGAAUUUAACCAACCGGCAGUGAUUUCAAAAAUGCAAUGUACUCCAUCCACACAGGUCCAGAUCCUAUGUCAGCACCUGAUAACAUAAGCAUCAGAAAUUUGGAAAAUUAAUUUUCUAAACAGGUAAUCCCAUCUAGUCUAUUGAACAGAAAGUCCUAUUUCCAGUAAUAUAUGUUUUUUCAAAUGCAUGUUAAACAGUUUAAUUAACUAGAUUAAUCCAUUCUAAUAGUUUACAUGUUUAUUAACGAUAUAAAGCAAAUAAUAUACAUGCCAUCGUAGUUGCCUUCCCUUAAAUUUCAAAGCAAUCCAGGAAUAAUUAUAGGAUCCGACUUUAACCAUUUCAUCUAUUGCUCUGAUUAAUACUGGAUUUUUAGUUUAGCAGAUUGAUAUAAGAAAUUGAACAAGUACUUGAUGAUCAAACAGUAUCUAAACAUGGUGGUAGAUACUAAAACUUUGUAGAAUCAGCCUCUGUAGAUACUACUUGGAUUUCAGAAAAAAGUUCAAACAUCUAAACAAGGAUCUCUACAAGACACAAAAUGAUUUUUUCACUAUAGGCCAUCAGGAAAUAAAGUACAUGUCACAUCCAGCGCCCUUCUAUGGUCUACUAGAAGCAAGGUGAAGCUGGUUUUACACACCAGGGGUGGCUUGGGCAUGAUGAUUCCGUUCACAUGGAAACUGGUGCAGCUGGUUUAAAUGAAAUUGAGAGUUAAAUCUUACUCCAUUUAUCAUGCAGCUGAGUUAGUUCUAAACUUAAAGUUACUUGAGUCAAGGGUGGCCAAGUUAAUUCAAAUUUUGUUGAAAGUUCGGCUGUUUGUUCUCAUUUUAGUUUGCCAUUAUGUUUAACUCCCAAAAGAUUGUUUUGGCUCACAAAAUUAUUGCCAAAUAGGUUCAAAGUUUUCAACCCAAACUAGUAUUUGAGUAAUCAUAGUUUUCUAACAACAUUUUUCCAAUCCUAUCACAAUGCCAAACUAGACCCUUGCCUAUGACAUUUUUUAACCAUGAAGUAAUACCACUCUGGCCUUCGCAUAUCCAAUGUGUAUCUGCAUCAGAUACUGAUAGACAUCUCGCACAGAUUGUAUAGGCAUUAAACACGACCUGAAACAUCUUGAAUACCAACAGAUUCAACAAAAAAAAAAUGAUUUCAUAAAUUCAUACAUGGGAUGGAUGAGACAAACACAAGCGAAUACAGCAAAUGAAGAGACAAAUAGUACUACCAUUUACCACAAACAUUAAUUACAAUAGAAGAGAGAUGGAUUAUCACUGUAAAUGGAAGGGUCAAUUGGCCGUUUGAGUUGACCUCAAGUGGCUCUGAUCCAUGCAGGAGACUUAAAAGUGAAAAGGGAGAUAUAUGGAAGAGAUGGAAUAUGAUGCAAUGAGGUUGAGGUGUUGCUUACAAUUAGUUACAUUGUAAGAGGAACAUUAAGUCUUUCAGAACAGUCAACAAGGGGCAAGAGGAACAUUAAGUCUUUAAAACAGUCAUUUCAAGUCACAGUCUCUAUUAAAACAAACAAAACUUCCUUUGUUCUUCAUAUUUCAUUAAAUAUAAUUUAUAGUAAGUCUAUUCAAGUGAUCAUGAUGUCCCAAUCACAAAAUAAUGACCACAAAAACCUUACAUGCAUUGUAGCUCUGUUGCUAAGAUUACUUAACAAUCCUGUAAUCCUCAACUUUUGUUUUCAAAUAUGAUUGAGUGUGUGCACUACAUGUCAUUUCUAAACUAAUAAGAUAAGUAAUAAGUACUCCAAAAGACCACAGAGCCUUAAGGUUCAAGAGAAAACAAACCAACAUAGCCAAGCAUAAAAUCAAAUGCCUUUCUAGUCUCUUCCUGACCCUCUACACCUUUCUUGUCGUUGACCUUCCGGAUGAAUCGAAUAUAACAGCGCCUAUAAAACAAAUAGAAGCAUGAGUCGUAAGUUAUCAAGUCAAGUUGCCAUUCUUUCUAAACAACUCCACUGCACCAAACACCAAAGAAGGCACAUUAAUGUUGAAACACAACAUAAAUAAUUGAAAUCUUUUUAUUGGAAUUAGAUAUGGAACAUCCUCUAACAAAUCAUACAACUAUGCCCUCAUUCAUUCCACUCAUUUUGCUAAUUGUGAUUCAAGAUUUGCCAUGUGGAGGUCAAAACAAUGAGAGAGAGAGAGAAGCCAGCAGCCUACAAAAGUAAGUGUUUGCUUAUGAUAGUGUCAUGAAAAGAAACUAACCAGAAAAAAGUACAUUAAAAUCAGUGAACAAUCAAAGCAAAAAUGCAGCAAGUAUGACAUUCGCUUGUUCACCAAAGAGCUUUGUUAAGCUUAACAAAGUAAUACUGUUUCGGUUCAGUUAUUUUUCAUUCCAUGUUAUGGCCCAAAAUUCUUUUAUUUCCCAGAAGUCAGAGUCUUCUAAGGUUAAAAAAAAAAAAAAGACACGCACACAUUAUGAUAUCCUUUAGCAGCAAAGAUAAUGGAGUUAAAAAAUAAGAUUCAUAAAUAGAAGGUGGUAAAGAAGCAGUUUAACUUUCAACAACUUUAAAGCAUGUUAUCAACCCUCUAAAAUGAUAAUUUUCAGAACACCUCAUUGAAAGACUGUUGCUCUCUAUGGCUCUGUUUGUUUCACAAAAAUGAGCUUCCAGAAAUCCAUUUCCAUAUUUUCUAAUGUUUGGAAGCCAAAAAAUUGUGUGAUCAAAGGAAAAUAAGGAGAAAGCCAACAGGAAAAAGGAGCUCAAAAGGGAAAUUGUCUUCUACUUUUGAAAAAUGGAAGACAAUUUCCACAAACUCUACCCUGCCUCCAAGCGACACAACAAACCCUCACCCCUUCUAAGCCUUCAAUUUCCCACUACAGAACUCCAGUAAACCCAUGAAUGGCAACCAGCAGUAGUAACUCCGACAACCUUGCAACCUUUUUAUUACGGCUUCAAAACCCAAGCUCUGUGGCACUGCUUGUCGAUCUCUCUUUCCUUCUUCAAGGACCUUCUCCAGCACCCUCUUCCCCUUCGAUGUUCCUUCAAAUCACUAUUCUAUAACCAUGUUAAGGAAGCCAGUAAAUCCUACUUGAUGCUUUGCUGAUGGUGGAAGGAAGCAUCCUAUUUGUUACCAUAAGAGGACUUACUAUCUACAUUUGGCUGUUAGCUUUUGUUUUUUCUUUUUUUGAUGGAGGUGGAGGCGGCCUGUUUGCUUUAUGCAUAGAACAUUGUUACAAUAAAUUGUGCUUUGAAUGCAAGAAUAAAUAUUAAAUUGCUUAUUGAAAUUUCAGGGUUCCAUUCUUCUGAUAGCUUCUGUAUAUUUGGAUGUCUGUUAGCCAUAAACUAAUCUUUUCUUUCUCAAAACUAAUAGUUGAGUUAGCGCCAUGAAAGAACUUCUAUGUCUUUUUAAAAUCUUUUUUAUACUUAUGUAAAGAUUAAAAAUUUUAAAAAUUUGCAAAUUUUCCGUUGACAGACAAAACAAUAGAGAAUAUUUUCUAUAGUGCCAUGCAAACAACAAAAUAUAUGAGCCUUUCAGGACAACUCAUUUUCCAGAAGCCCAUUUCCGUGAAACAAACAGAGACAAACAUUAGGGUACAAGGAACUACUUGCACAAGCAAAAGGUAUACAGAAUAUUUUUUACCAGAACUACUUAUCUUAGCUCAAUUCAAACGUUUGGAUUUAAUUUUUUACUACUUGCUUUUUAGUUCCGGCAGCAAUGCAAAACCUGCAUCUGAAUUUAAAAAAUAAAAAAGCAAAUAAUAUUCCAGAAUAAUAAAAAAUCAACAAUAUAUUUUUUUAUGAAUAACAAAAGGCAUGAUUUUACUUCUAAAUGGAGCGAUUACAUCUGAAUUUGUGUUACAUUUUAGUUAUUUCUAAAAUUCCAAUAGUAACAAAUAGCAAAAAAAAAAAAAUACACAAAGCCUUACAUUAUUCUCUUUUUCUGAAGAAAUAAUCAAGAAAAAUUGAGUAAGAAAGUAUUUACCAAAGAGGAAUUUGAAGACAAUUCAAUAAACAGCGACUAAAUAUUUGUUUGGUAGCAUCAUCGUUGCUCACCGCCAUCUGAGCCUCCACAUAUUGCCUCCAAUAUUUUGCCUGAAAAUAUAUAUAUUUUUAUUUUGUUUAACAUCAUAAUUAUAUAAUAAUAUAAGUACAUUAAACUUGACAUUAAAAUUAAUAAAAAGAAGAAGAAGAAGAAGAAAUUUACAGCGGUGGGAAAAAUUGACAAGAGUUGCUCAUAAAUUGGGGCAGCCUGUGUAAUUGGCAAAUGCUAGAACAAAAAAACGAAAAAGUAAGCUAAACAGGAAAAAAAAUUCAACAAAAAAAUCCAAAAAAAAUUGCGUACCAAGGCACUGUUGGCGAGAAUUUCAGCCGACUCGACGUUGUAUUUGUCAACGGCCGCCAUGGGAAUCAAUCAGGGCAUCGGCAGUAUGGGUUUUAAUGCUCGCUCAAAUUUGGGGACUUCGGUAGUAAGUCGUAACCCGAAAAUGAAAGAAAAAAAGGGAAUCUGUGAACAGAGUAAUUUAAAACUUGAAGAAAACGGGGAGGAAGGAACAGAGGACGGAAAACGGGGGAUGGAGGGGGCGUUCUGUCCGGUAUUCUGACACCGCAUGCGCCGCCGAGGGGGGAAAGGAAGAGAAGGAGAGGAGGUACAGUGGAGAAAGAGAGAAUAAAUAAUUAACUAUAUAACUUUAAAGAAAAUAGUAUUUAUAUAAAUAAAAAGAAUAAG